GGACGCAUAGCUCAGUUGGCUAGAGCAUCUGCUUUACACGCAGAGGGUCCUAGGUUCGAGUCCUAGUGCGUCCACCA
rnacentral:tRNA from 1 species